GUUGGUUUCUUGGGGAACUAGAAACGAGGCUCUCCCAGUGUGUGCCAACAUGCUUGGCACUUUCGGGAUGCUAUGGGUCAGGCACCAGAUAAACACACCCAGGGACAGAGGAUAGCUGCUCAGGAAUUUCUGGUGGCAGCUCUUUGUGGACUCGCGAAAAAUUGGCUGAAAAGGAAGGACUGUGACCCAAAGAUGCCCAGCUCCCUGGAAUAGGGCACGUUACAGUGGGCUGAGGAGCUACAGUGAGCUGUGCUAAGAGUGUGCCUGGGAAGAGAAACCAAGGACGUGAGAUUCAAAAACAGGCUUUGCCUAAGACUGCAUAAAGCUGCAAGCUCUCCAGCCCUUCCCUGGCCAGUUCCCUGUGACCUCCUAGGCUGGAGAAACCAAGACCAAUGGCAGCUUCCAACCAGCUUGGCAUAAGUGGUUGGCAAGGCAGAGCACCCCCAUCUGUGCCCAGCUGCAGGUCUUGAAGUCUCUCAGUCAUCAGCUCACCCAGGACAUCCAGUUCAUCAGCCAGUCUUGUGGGUUAACUCGUAUUCUGAUUCUCUUUACUGUUCCCUCUGGUUUUAAAAAAA
ensembl:lncRNA novel transcript